AGCCAUUUGAAUCUAGUCUACUCAGUGAGAUAAGAUUUUAUCUGAAAUAGGUAUGUAUUGGACCUAGCUCAAUCUCCUCACUACACCAUCAUGUGUCCUCCAGCUGACUGUCUCGAUAUCUUUGAUCGCAUAGCUCAAUCCAUCUGAUAGAUGAACAGUGCCCUCACUGUUCUCUAUGAAGUCAAAUAGCUCCUCUCUAUAACAAACAUGAUGAGUGCA
rnacentral:lncRNA from 1 species